GUAAGAGUUUGACUCCGUGGCACAGAACGAACGCUGGCGGCGUGCCUAACACAUGCAAGUCGAGCGCGAAAAGGGCAACCUGAGUAGAGCGGCGCACGGGUGCGUAACACGUGGGUAAUCUGCCUUUGGGUUGAGGAUAACUUUCUGAAAGGAGAGCUAAUACUCGGUAAGCUUACGGCGGCUUCGGACGCUGUGAGAAAAGUAGAACCUCUAUUUAUAAGUUUACGCCCAGAGAUGAGCCCGCGGCCCAUCAGCUAGUGCGGGUAACGGCCCACCAAGGCAACGACGGGGUAGCUGGUCUGAGAGGACGAUCAGCCACACUGGAACUGAGACACGGUCCAGACUCCUACGGGAGGCAGCAGUGGGGAAUUUUCCACAAUGGGCGAAAGCCUGAUGGAGCAACGCCGCGUGUGUGAUGAAGGUCUUCGGAUCGUAAAGCACUUUCGACCGGGACGAAAACCCCUUGGCUAACAUCCAGGGGCCUGACGGUACCGGGAGAAGAAGCACCGGCUAACUCUGUG
rnacentral:rRNA from 1 species